rnacentral:rRNA from 1 species
UACGUAGGUGGCAAGCGUUGUCCGGAUUUACUGGGUGUAAAGGGCGUGUAGCCGGGCUGACAAGUCAGAUGUGAAAUCCGGGGGCUCAACCCCCGAACUGCAUUUGAAACUGUUGGUCUUGAGUAUCGGAGAGGCAGGCGGAAUUCCUAGUGUAGCGGUGAAAUGCGUAGAUAUUAGGAGGAACACCGGUGGCGAAAGCGGCUCUCUGGCCUGUAACUGACACUGAGGCUCGAAAGCGUGGGGAGCAAACAGG